AGGGUUUGAUCAUGGCUCAGAUUGAACGCUGGCGGCAGGCCUAACACAUGCAAGUCGAGCGAAUGAGGGGAGCUUGCUCCCUGAUUUAGCGGCGGACGGGUGAGUAAUGUAUAGGGAGCUGCCCGAUAGAGGGGGAUACCAGUUGGAAACGACUGUUAAUACCGCAUAAUGUCUACGGACCAAAGUGUGGGACCUUCGGGCCACAUGCUAUCGGAUGCACCUAUAUGGGAUUAGCUAGUUGGUGGGGUAACGGCUCACCAAGGCGACGAUCCCUAGCUGGUUUGAGAGGAAGAUCAGCCACACUGGGACUGAGACACGGCCCAGACUCCUACGGGAGGCAGCAGUGGGGAAUAUUGGACAAUGGGCGCAAGCCUGAUCCAGCCAUGCCGCGUGUGUGAAGAAGGCCUUCGGGUUGUAAAGCACUUUCAGCGAGGAGGAAGGGUGUUGUGUUAAUANCACANCANUUUGACGUUACUCGCANAAGAAGCACCGGCUAACUCCGUGCCAGCCGCCGCGGUAAUAC
rnacentral:rRNA from 1 species